rnacentral:misc_RNA from 1 species
GAAAUGCGAUAAGUAAUGUGAAUUGCAGAAUUCAGUGAAUCAUCGAAUCUUUGAACGCACCUUGCGCUCCUUGGUAUUCCUUGGAGCAUGCCUGUUUGAGUAUCAUGAAAUCUUCAAAGUAAAUCUUUUGUUAACUCAAUUGGUUUCUACUUUGGUAUUGGAGGUCUUUGCAGCUUAACACCUGCUCCUCUUUGUUCAUUAGCUGGAUCUCAGUGUUAUGCUUGGUUCCACUCGGCGUGAUAAGUUAUCUAUCGCUGAGGACACUGUAAAAGGUGGCCAAGGUAAAUGCAGAUGAACCGCUUCUAAUAGUCCAUUGACUUGGACAAUACUUUUAUGAUCUGAUCUCAAAUCAGGUAGGACUACCCGCUGAACUUAAGC